rnacentral:rRNA from 1 species
CACGUAGGGGGGCAAGCGUUGUCCGGAUUCAUUGGGCGUAAAGAGCUCGUAGGCGGUUCGAUAAGUCGGGUGUGAAACCUCCAGGCUCAACCUGGAGACGCCACCCGAUACUGUCGUGACUAGAGUCCAGUAGGGGAGCGUGGAAUUCCUGGUGUAGCGGUGAAAUGCGCAGAUAUCAGGGAGGAACACCAGCGGCGAAGGCGGCGCUCUGGGCUGGAACUGACGCUGAGGAGCGAAAGCGUGGGGAGCGAACAGG